rnacentral:sRNA from 1 species
AACUUGCCUCUCUUUGGCGUCUUGGGAGCAAACUAGAUUUUGCUCUGUGUUUCUCUCCUGGCGUCAAGUUGUUGCCGCCAAAGCUGUCCCAAUGGCCGCCAACAAUCCGUCGCAGCUACUGCCAUCAGAGUUGAUCAACCGGUGCAUAGGGUCGAAGAUGUGGGUGAUAAUGAAGGGUGACUAGGAGCUCGUGGGGACUCUGAGGGGUUUCAAUGUUUACGUCAACAUGGUUCUCGAAGACGUCACUGAAUAUUAGAAAUUUGAUCAGGGAAAACAGUUUAUUGAAGAAAUCCGAAUCAGUAAUCUCUUAUUAUGAUGUCGAUUCCCUGGGAUCAUCCAGAGGGUGGUAUGUGAGCCUACCGGAGCCAUCCUCGGUGUCAAAAGAUCGUUCAUUGUUGUGAAAUUUAAUACCAGGUUUGAUCCUAUGGUUGCUGACAUCAAUGGUUACCACAUUGGUAUUGAUGUGAACACGGUUGUGUAUGUUGCCUGUGUUGAUGUUGUUUUAAGAGGAAUUGAUUUGAAAAGUGGGAGGGAGAUUGCUGCUUGAUUGAGUGCAGAUAUGCCGUCAAGAUGGUUUGGGUUUUGGUCGGAUACUUGUCAACUAGGCCUCCAACGCCUCUUCUUGUUGCUCAGAUUGACCUCUCCAACCAGUUCA